UACGGAGGGGGUUAGCGUUGUUCGGAAUGACUGGGCGUAAAGCGCGCGUAGGCGGAUCGUUAAGUCGGGGGUGAAAUCCCGGGGCUCAACCCCGGAAUGGCCUUCGAUACUGGCGGUCUUGAGUUCGAGAGAGGUGAGUGGAAUUCCGAGUGUAGAGGUGAAAUUCGUAGAUAUUCGCAAGAACACCAGUGGCGAAGGCGGCUCACUGGCUCGGUACUGACGCUGAGGUGCGAAAGCGUGGGGAGCAAACAGG
rnacentral:rRNA from 1 species